GACGCAGGGGGCUAGCGUUGUUCGGAAUUACUGGGCGUAAAGCGCGUGUAGGCGGUUGUCAAAGUCGGGUGUGAAAGCCUUGAGCUUAACUCAAGAAAUGCACUCGAUACUUGGUGACUAGAGGACCGGAGAGGAUAGUGGAAUUCCCAGUGUAGUGGUGAAAUACGUAGAGAUUGGGAAGAACACCAGUGGCGAAGGCGGCUAUCUGGACGGUUUCUGACGCUAAGGAGCGAAAGCGUGGGGAGCGAACAGG
rnacentral:rRNA from 1 species